rnacentral:rRNA from 1 species
CACCGCGGUUAUACGAGGGGCCCAAGCUGAUAGACCACGGCGUAAAGAGUGGUUAAGAAAAGAAACAAACUAAAGCCGAACGCUUCCAAGGCUGUUAUACGCUUUCGAAAGUAAGAAGCUCAACUACGAAAGUGGCUUUAAAUUAUCUGACCCCACGAAAGCUAGGGCA